rnacentral:miRNA from 10 species
GGGAUGCCAGCUGCAGCGGGGGAGGCACAGCCAGGGCUACAAACUCCAUGGAGCCAGCAGGAACCAGGAACAUG